AUGCUUAAAGACAUAGGUAAGUUUCCUGAGGUUGAUGUGAUAGUCAAAAGUGCCAAGCAAAUCUGUAGGUUUUUUUAUAAUCACAACAACCUACAUGAUAGCAUGAGGAAGAACGUUGGUGGUGAGCUGAUUAAACCGAAUGCCACCCGGUUUGGAACUGUGUUUAUGUUCCUUGAGAGUUAUUUGGAGAAGAAAGAUAAAUUUAGGAAAUGGAUGGUGUCCGACGACUGGAAGAACAGUAUUUGGAAGAAUGAUGCGGACCAUGUGUUUGCUGAAGAUUUGCUAUCCAGUAACAUGUGGUGGACAGCCUUAGAAUGGGUUCUUGAUUUGCUUGAGCCACUCUAUGUAGCCCUCAGAUAUGCUGAUACACAAAAGAAAUGUACUCUAUCUGGUUUCAAGAAGACUAUGAUGACAGCCAUACAAAAGAUGAGUUCUCAUCUUGGUGGUGGGUCACAGAUGUUAGAUAGAGUCAUGAGCAAGGUGUCCCCGAGGAUGGAAGAUAUGCAAAAUGAGACACUAAUGGUUGCAGCUGCUGUCCUUGAUCCGUUCACACAUUAUCGGGUGAAUUUGAGCAACCUUCCAGAAUAUGCUUCUGCACUAACGGAUGCCAUCGAGAAGAUAGCAGACCCUGAGAGCGCUCUUUUGGCUAUCAAUGAAAUCAGCACUUAUAGGGAAUGUCGUGGGAGGUUUAGGCAUAGUUUGGCACGCUCUUCCGCAGAAAGAAUGGCACCAACUGAGUGGUGGUUCCAGUUUGGAGGGGAAGUUCCUAAUUUGCAGAAGUGGGCAUUGAGAAUUGUUUCACAGUGUGUCUCUUCAAGUGGCUGUGAGAGGAAUUGGACUGCUUUUGCCUUGGUCCACACGAAGCAAAGAAAUCGCCUUCUAUACUGCAAGCUUCACAAAAGUGUUUCUGUACGCUACAACCUGAAGAAGAUGAAGAUAUUGUGA
rnacentral:rRNA from 1 species